rnacentral:rRNA from 1 species
AGAGUUUGAUCAUGGCUCAGAUUGUAACGCUGGCGGCAGGCUUCACACAUGCAAGUCGAACGGUAACAGGGAGAAAGCUUGCUUUCUUUGCUGACGAGUGGCGGACGGGUGAGUAAUGCUUGGGAAUCUGGCUUAUGGAGGGGGAUAACUACGGGAAACUGUAGCUAAUACCGCGUAAUAUCUUCGGAUUAAAGGGUGGGACUUUCGGGCCACCUGCCAUAAGAUGAGCCCAAGUGGGAUUAGGUAGUUGGUGGGGUAAAGGCCUACCAAGCCGACGAUCUCUAGCUGGUCUGAGAGGAUGACCAGCCACACUGGAACUGAGACACGGUCCAGACUCCUACGGGAGGCAGCAGUGGGGAAUAUCGCACAAUGGGGGGAACCCUGAUGCAGCCAUGCCGCGUGAAUGAAGAAGGCCUUCGGGUUGUAAAGUUCUUUCGGUGAUGAGGAAGGCAGGUAAGUUAAUAGCUUACUUGAUUGACGUUAGUCACAGAAGAAGCACCGGCUAACUCCGUGCCAGCAGUCGCGGUAAUACGGAGGGUGCGAGCGUUAAUCGGAAUGACUGGGCGUAAAGGGCACGCAGGCGGUGACUUAAGUGAGAUGUGAAAGCCCCGGGCUUAACCUGGGAAUUGCAUUUCAUACUGGGUCGCUAGAGUAUUUUAGGGAGGGGUAGAAUUCCACGUGUAGCGGUGAAAUGCGUAGAGAUGUGGAGGAAUACCGAAGGCGAAGGCAGCCCCUUGGGAAUAUACUGACGCUCAUGUGCGAAAGCGUGGGGAGCAAACAGGAUUAGAUACCCUGGUAGUCCACGCUGUAAACGCUGUCGAUUUGGGGAUUGGGCUUAGAGCUUGGUGCCCGUAGCUAACGUGAUAAA